UGUCAGCUAAAUGGCGGACGGGUGAGUAAUGUAUAGUUAAUCUGCCCUUUAGAGAGGAAUAACUACUGGAAACGGUAGCUAAUACCUCAUACUCCUUCUUUAUUAAUNAAAGUUGGGAAAUGUUUUUUCGCUAAAGGAUGAGACUAUAUGGUAUCAGGUAGUUGGUGGGGUAAGAGCCUACCAAGCCAAUGACGCCUAGCUGGUCUGAGAGGAUGAUCAGCCACACUGGAACUGAGACACGGUCCAGACUCCUACGGGAGGCAGCAGUGGGGAAUAUUGCACAAUGGAGGAAACUCUGAUGCAGCAACGCCGCGUGGAGGAUGACACAUUUCGGUGCGUAAACUCCUUUUAUAUGGGAAGAUAAUGACGGUACCAUAUGAAUAAGCACCGGCUAACUCCGUGCCAGCNGCCGCGGUAAUACGGAGGGUGCAAGCGUUACUCGGAAUCACUGGGCGUAAAGCGCGCGCAGGCGGUUUAUU
rnacentral:rRNA from 1 species